rnacentral:misc_RNA from 1 species
UACGUAGGUGGCAAGCGUUGUCCGGAAUUAUUGGGCGUAAAGCGCGCGCAGGCGGCCUCUUAAGUCUGAUGUGAAAGCCCCCGGCUCAACCGGGGAGGGCCAUUGGAAACUGGGAGGCUUGAGUAUAGGAGAGAAGAGUGGAAUUCCACGUGUAGCGGUGAAAUGCGUAGAUAUCGGGAGGAACAUCAGUGGCGAAGGCGACCGCCUGGCCUAUAACUGACGCUGAGGCGCGAAAGCGUGGGGAGCAAACAGG